rnacentral:rRNA from 1 species
GAUGAACGCUGGCGGCGUGCCUAAUACAUGCCAGUCGAGCGAACAGACGAGGAGCUUGCUCCUCUGACGUUAGCGGCGGACGGGUGAGUAACACGUGGAUAACCUACCUAUAAUACUGGGAUAACUUCGGGAAACCGGAGCUAAUACCGGAUAAUAUAUUGAACCGCAUGGUUCAAUAGUGAAAGACGGUUUUGCUGUCACUUAUAGAUGGAUCCGCGCCGCAUUAGCUAGUUGGUAAGGUAACGGCUUACCAAGGCAACGAUGCGUAGCCGACCUGAGAGGGUGAUCGGCCACACUGGAACUGAGACACGGUCCAGACUCCUACGGGAGGCAGCAGUAGGGAAUCUUCCGCAAUGGGCGAAAGCCUGACGGAGCAACGCCGCGUGAGUGAAGAAGGUCUUCGGAUCGUAAAACUCUGUUAUUAGGGAAGAACAAAUGUGUAAGUAACUAUGCACGUCUUGACGGUACCUAAUCAGAAAGCCACGGCUAACUACGUG